UACGUAGGGACCAAGCGUUGUUCGGAUUUACUGGGCGUAAAGGGCGCGUAGGCGGCAUAUUAAGUCAGCUGUGAAAUCUCCGAGCUUAACUCGGAACUGUCAGCUGAUACUGAUGUGCUAGAGUGCAGAAGGGGCAAUCGGAAUUCUUGGUGUAGCGGUGAAAUGCGUAGAUAUCAAGAGGAACACCUGCGGCGAAGGCGGGUUGCUGGGCUGACACUGACGCUGAGGCGCGAAAGCCAGGGGAGCGAACGGG
rnacentral:rRNA from 1 species